UCUUGAAUCUGUCAGCAAGGGAACCUUGCAGCUGCUGGUUUGCCAUAAGAUCAUCUCUGCAUUGUAUGAUUUUCCUGAUGACCCAGGCUGCUUGCUUGGGUGCAUUUACUGUGCCAAUAUCAGCUUUUUUGAUGUAGUAGCAGUGAACCCAUCGGACCGAUAGGCAGUCCUUCUUCCUAGCAAGGUCCCAAAGUAGUUUGGUGAUUGCUGCUUUAUUCCAGAUGGUUACAUUCAGUAUAUUUAGACCUCCAGCAGUUAAGGGUCUGCAAACUCUAUCCCAAGCCACUAGGGCUCUCUUUGAUACACUGGCAGCUCCUGUACAGAGGAAAGUCCUACAGAUUGUGUCAAUAGCUUUUAAUACUUUCUUUGGCAAAAGGAAAACCUGGGACCGAUAGGCUUGUAUGCCAAAGAUGACAACCUUAAUUAACUGACACCUACCAGCAUAGGAUAGUAACUUUGCAGACCAGCAGGUGAUCCUGGCUGUGAUUCUCUCAAUGAGAGGCAAGUAUUGAUGUAUAGAGAGUUUCUUAGAAUCCAGGGGAAUGCCCAGGUAUCUAAAAGGAAGUUUGCCUUCANNNNNNNNNNNNNNNCUCCUGGCUGUGAUUCUCUCAAUGAGAGGCAAGUAUUGAUGUAUAGAGAGUUUCUUAGAAUCCAGGGGAAUGCCCAGGUAUCUAAAAGGAAGUGUGCCUUCACUGAAGCCCAAGAGUUCUAUCAAUUCUGUUCUAACCUCCUGUGUUACCCCUGCUAGGUAGAUGGCACUCUUGCUUGCAUUUGCUUCCAGACCAGAAGCCUUAGAAAACUUGAGGAAAAUUUGGUGUAAGAUCUGAAUGGAGAUGGUGUCUGCCCGACAGAACAUAAGUAGUUCAUUAGCAAAACAGAUAUGGGUACAAUUUAGUUCCUGCACUUUGGAUGGAAAUUGAAGUUACCAUUACUGUGGAGUUGUCCCAUGCUUCUGUUCAAAUACUCCAUAGCCAGUACAAAUAGAUAUGGAGACAUUGGAUCACCCAGUCUUAUCCCUCUCUUGGCAUUGAAUGGUUUAGUGAAACCUCCAUUCAUUACUAAGGAAAAGGAUACAGUAGUGGUACAAGCCAUAAUCCAGUCAAUGAACUUGGCUGGGAAACCAUAAGCUAUCAGAAUCUGCUGCAAGAAGGGCCAUUCCAG
rnacentral:lncRNA from 1 species